GACGUAGGGGGCCAGCGUUGUUCGGAAUUACUGGGUGUAAAGGGUCAGUAGGCGGUGUGGCAAGUCGGGAGUGAAAUCUAUGGGCUCAACUCAUAGGCUGCUUCCGAAACUGCCGUGCUUGAGUGUGGGAGAGGCGCGUGGAAUUGCAGGUGUAGCGGUGAAAUGCGUAGAUAUCUGCAGGAACACCCGUGGCGAAAGCGGCGCGCUGGACCACAACUGACGCUGAAUGACGAAAGCUAGGGGAGCAAACAGG
rnacentral:rRNA from 1 species